rnacentral:rRNA from 1 species
AUUGAACGCUGGCGGCAUGCCUUACACAUGCAAGUCGAACGGUAACAGCACUUCGGUGGCUGACGAGUGGCGAACGGGUGAGUAAUACAUCGGAACGUGCCCGAGAGUGGGGGAUAACGCAGCGAAAGCUGUGCUAAUACCGCAUACGAUCUACGGAUGAAAGCAGGGGACCGCAAGGCCUUGCGCUCAUGGAGCGGCCGAUGGCAGAUUAGGUAGUUGGUGGGAUAAAAGCUUACCAAGCCGACGAUCUGUAGCUGGUCUGAGAGGACGACCAGCCACACUGGGACUGAGACACGGCCCAGACUCCUACGGGAGGCAGCAGUGGGGAAUUUUGGACAAUGGGCGAAAGCCUGAUCCAGCCAUGCCGCGUGCAGGAUGAAGGCCUUCGGUUGUAAACUGCUUUGUACGGACGAAAGGUCGUUUUCUAAUUAAAGAAGGCUCAUGACGGUACCGUAAGAAUAAGCACCGGCUAACUACGUGCCAGCACG